rnacentral:rRNA from 1 species
UACGUAGGGUGCGAGCGUUGUCCGGAAUUAUUGGGCGUAAAGAGCUCGUAGGCGGUGUGUCGCGUCGGUCGUGAAAACUUGGGGCUUAACCCUGAGCUUGCGGUCGAUACGGGCAUCACUUGAGUUCGGCAGGGGAGACUGGAAUUCCUGGUGUAGCGGUGAAAUGCGCAGAUAUCAGGAAGAACACCCGUGGCGAAGGCGGUUCUCUGGGACGGUACUGACGCUGAGACGCGAAAGCGUGGGGAGCGAACAGG